rnacentral:rRNA from 1 species
GACGAACGCUGGCGGCGCGCUUAACACAUGCAAGUCGAGCGAAGCGGCGGACGGGUGAGUAACACGUGAGUAACCCGCCUUAGACAUUGGGAUAGCCUCGGGAAACCGGGAUUAAUACCAAAUGGUCUAAGAUGGACUCGCGUCCCCUUAGCUAGUUGGUGCGGUAACGGCCCACCAAGGCGACGAUGGGUAGCCGGAGUGAGAGGGUGAACGGCCACAUUGGAACUGAGAAACGGUCCAAACUCUACGGGAGGCAGCAGUGGGGAAUGUUGCACAAUGGAGGGCACUCUGAUGGAGAGACGCAGCGUGAACGAAGAAGGCGUGCAAGGCGGAAAGUUAUUUUAUAAGGGAAGCGGUACCAUAAGAGAAAGCCCCGGCUAACUACGUGCCAGCAGCCGCGGUAAUAC